AGAGCAGAGAAACGCUGUUUUGAGGAACUACGGCUUAAGGCCCAGAAGAUAAAGAAAAUUGAGACCUCACCUAAUUAACGGCAUGUGUACCUCCCUUGGUGGUAUGUGUCACUGCUGUUUUGGGGCUCCAUGUGAGGUGGUGGAGAUGCCAGCUGCUUACUGAUGGGCCCGUGGGGGCUACAAGACAUGAGCCAGCCCUGCUGGAUGCCAAGUCAUCCAGUUAACAAAUGAGUUCGGCAGUCAUAAGCUCUAGAGUGGGAGAUCAUUUGGAGGACCAGCUACAAACAACAGUGUUAUGGUGUCUCCUCCCAAGAACUUCACUUUGCCAGGUUUACGACUUUGUGCACCGUAUGUCAAAUUGGAGAAUGACAUUUGAAUCUGUCUACCUCACCAUGAUUUUAAAAUACCG